rnacentral:rRNA from 1 species
AACGAACGCUGGCGGCGCGCCUAAUACAUGCAAGUCGAACGAGAAGGUGUAGCAAUACACUUGUACAGUGGCGAACGGGUGAGGAAUGCAUGGGCAACCUACCCUCGAGUGGGGAACAACCAGCCGAAAGGUUGGCUAAUACCGCGUACGCUUCCGGGUCUCCGGAUCCGGAAGGAAAGUCACACCGUGGGUGUGACGCUCAAGGAUGGGCUCAUGUCCUAUCAGCUUGNGGUGAGGUAACGGCUCACCAAGGCAACGACGGGUAGCUGGUCUGAGAGGACGAUCAGCCACACUGGCACUGCGACACGGGCCAGACUCCUACGGGAGGCAGCAGUAAGGAAUAUUGCGCAAUGGGCGAAAGCCUGACGCAGCGACGCCGCGUGGGGGAUGAAGGUCUUCGGAUUGUUAAACCCCCUUUU